CUACUCUGGUCCCUUGGACUUUGAAGGCUGCAGAGUAGCAGAUGUGUUCCUGGGAGGAAUCGUCCAAUCUGGUUUCAUCCUAGGGGAAUCCAGGCUGCAUGCUCCAAGAUGACCCAUGAUGUGAAAUCAAGCUCUUGAACUGGAAAUUGGCAGGACACUUGCUUCAAAAGUGCUCUCCUGACCUAAUGAUGUGUUGGAUCUGAUAGUGGAACUUGGACAGGACAAAGAUGUUGCCUUAGGAAAAUGAGCAACAGCAGCUUCCUUAGACCUUCUACAUUGCUUCUAACCGGAAUGCCAGGAAUGGCAGGGGCUACAGUCGUCGAUAUGGAAAAAGUCAAACUUCUCCAGCCCUCAGCACUCCAGGAUUUCAUCUUCCAUCUGCCUGUGCAAACAGGGGACGUGCCCUUGCUUAAUUUGGGUGCACGUGGCUAAACUCAUUCAUGUGUCAUGAAAAAUGGAAUGAGUCUCUUCCCAGCCACCCCACAUCUCAGACAAAGCUGCAGACAUCUGUGCCUCCAGUUCUUACUGAGCCAGCUAAAUCAUUGGCUGGAUAAGCUGCAUUAGCAGACAGCUUUCCAGAGUGUUCUGAUUAUUGUAAGCAAGAGUAGCUCUCGGUACCUGAAUUUGGGUGCUCAGUCUUGAACUCAGGCCUCCUCUUCAUCCUCUCUAACUUGCUUUGGACAUCCUGCAAAAAUAAAAGCUUAUGUUCUUCACUCUGUGCAUCGUCAGCUGUUCUGACUUGAGUGAAUAUGCA